rnacentral:lncRNA from 1 species
AAUGUUCGAAUAUUUGAAUUCAUCGAGAAAGUCAAAACCCCGUUGUAAUAGGCCAAUUUUAGCCUGGCCCCAAUUUAUAGAAUAAAAUCCAAAUAAAUAAAUCCAAAUCCACACAAAUUAAAGCAGUCCAAAUUUUACAGCCCGUUAAACAGUCCAGUUAUAAAACAGCCCAAAAUACAAAAAUAGACCAAGCCCAAACCCAAUUACAAGCCUAAAUCAAAAUUAAACAGACCCAAAACUUAAAACCUAGCCCGAAAAUAAACCUGGCCCGAAAGGGCCAAAAACCAAAACAUGCCCAGCAAACCCUAGCAGCUGCUGCGCCGCUCGUUCCUCCGUUGCCAAUGCACUGCCCUCGUACGGCCUCCGCACCUCCACGUCUUCAGUACCUGCAGAAAAGACAAGCACCACACAGCAGAGAAUGGCAACCAAGGAGAAUACAACACGACAGCAGCCAAUAGAAACGAGAAACAAACGAAUUGUAAAAAUAUAUUCGGUUAUAAAGCCGAAGGAAUCCGUUUUUGUAAUUUUUUACACACACAAUCAAUACUAAAAAGAAAUACAAAGAUUUCCAAAGGUAGUCCCUUUCUCUUAUUUUCUUGAUUCUCGAAGCAAAUAUAAAGAAAUAAAAGAGAAAUCACCUGUUCUUCGCGCCUCGCCACCAUUGGAAGCCCUUUUUCGUUCAUGAAAGCCAUAAGAAACCCUAAGGUUUCGAAUAAGCUUCGGAGAAGAGGAAUAUGAAAUGGGUAAAGUGCAAGGGCCAAAUUCUAUUCGUUUUUUUAUUUAUUUCAAAAGAUUGCAAGUAGAUCUAAACUUGUUUUAAAAAGAGGAGAGGGUCCGAAUGUUUUAUUUUUCGGCACGACGGAGCUAUGGCGGAGCCACCGCGCUAGCUCGCCGGAGAAAAAGAGGGCGAGAGAGAGUCUAUAGGUGCUCUCUAUUUUUGAAGAAAAAAGGGGGAAAAUGACUUUUUUUUCUUUUUUUUUAUAUUUAUAUGAGGAUUAAAACGUCGCCGUUUUGGACUUAAUUAGCCAUGACCAAUACGCCACCGUUUUAAGCCAUACCAGUACGACCCGACCCCAUUGAGGGGAGAUCCACGUGUUUUCUUUGAAAAGGGGACAUUUAUGCGAUUGAUCCCCCACUUUUCGCCUUUUUUUAUUUAUUAUUUAAUUUGGGCCUGAUUUAUUUCUUUUCUUAGUUUUUCCCUUUAACUUGGUCUCGUUUUCAAUUUGGUAUCAGGACUGUUUUUGAGAGACUGACAUCUGAAACGGUGCCGUUUUAAAUUCGCC